GAUGAACGCUAGCCACAGGCUUAACACAUGCAAGUCGAGGGGUAGCAGGGUAGCAAUACCGCUGACGACCGGCGCACGGGUGAGUAACACGUAUCCAACCUUCCCAUAACUCGGGGAUAGCCUUUCGACAGAAAGAUUAAUACCCGAUAGUCCUAAUUUAAGGCAUCUUAUUUAAGUUAAAGAUUUAUUGGUUAUGGAUGGGGAUGCGUUCCAUUAGAUAGUUGGUGAGGUAACGGCUCACCAAGUCUUCGAUGGAUAGGGGUUCUGAGAGGAAGGUCCCCCACAUUGGUACUGAGACACGGACCAAACUCCUACGGGAGGCAGCAGUAAGGAAUAUUGGUCAAUGGGCGAGAGCCUGAACCAGCCAAGUAGCGUGAAGGAUGAAGGUCCUAUGGAUUGUAAACUUCUUUUAUAGUAGAAUAAAGUUAGCCACGUGUGGUUAUUUGUAUGUAUACUAUGAAUAAGGAUCGGCUAACUCCGUGCCAGCCGCCGCCGUAA
rnacentral:rRNA from 1 species